rnacentral:rRNA from 1 species
AUCAACAGAGAUUCCCCUAGUAACGGCGAGCGAACGGGGAAGAGCCCAUCGCCCAAUCCGCCGCCAAACUGGCGGGCCGGAAAUUUGGCGUAUAGGAAAGACGCUUCCGGGCACCGACUCCGGUGCAAGUCCCCCUGACUGGGGCUCUUACCCCGAGAGGGUGCAAGGCCCGUAGCGGCCGGAAGGUCGGUUCCGGAUGUCCUCUCCUGGGAGUCGGGUUGCUUGAGAGUGCAGCCCCAAUCAGGUGGUAAACUCCAUCUAAGGCUAAAUACGACCUGGAGACCGAUAGCGAACAAGUACCGUGAGGGAAAGUUGAAAAGGACUUUGAAGAGAGAGUUCAAGAGUACGUGAAACCGUUCGGAGGUAAACGAGUGGGCCCUCGAAGUGAGAAGGCGGGGGGACUCAGCCGAACGCCCCGAGCUGGCUCGGUCGUCCGCGGUUCCCUGACAGGACGCGGCGUGCCGGGCACUCGUGCUCAGGCGUCCGGCGCAUUUCCUCCCGUCCUCCGACGCUGCAACCGGUCGGGUGCGCCACGAGCAGUCGGCCUUACUCGCGGGAAACGGAAGGUAACCGGGACGGAGCGCUCCGGCGCUCUCCCCGGUGUUUAUCCGUCCCGCCAUGGAGUAGCCGUUCGCCCGACCGCAGGACGCGGCCCUCAGGGGCCUCGCCGUGCCCUCCCCAUGUUUUGGGAUCGUUUCUCGCCUCGGAAGGGAGGCCGUCGAGUUCGGUGGACACCCUGGGUGUCCCCGGGACGGCGGUCCCCGGUGGCCGGGGCGAUUUCGAGCGGGCGCAGGCGGUCCGCAGCGAGUAGNNNNNNNNNNNNNNUGACCCGUCCUUGAAACACGGACCAAGGAGUUUAACGUGCACGCGAGUCACGGGGUCGUGAACAGGCCCAGAGGCGCAAUGAAAGUGAAGGGCGGCUAACCGCCGUCCGCGUUGGGAUCCGUCGGCCUCGGCCGGCGGCGCACCAACGGCUCGUCCGGACCGCCUCGUCGGUCGGGCGAAGCGAGAGCGUGCACGUUGAGACCCGAAAGAUGGUGAACUAUGGCUGGGCAGGACGAAGCCAGAGGAAACUCUGGUGGAGGUCCGCAGCGGUUCUGACGUGCAAAUCGAUCGUCAGACCUGGCUAUAGGGGCGAAAGACUAAUCGAACCAUCUAGUAGCUGGUUCCCUCCGAAGUUUCCCUCAGGAUAGCUGGCGCUCGGGAGGAAGCAGUCUCAUCCGGUAAAGCGAAUGAUUAGAGGCCUUGGGGCCGAAAAGACCUCAACCUAUUCUCAAACUUUCAAUGGGUGAGAAGUCCGGUUUGCCUGAUUGARSCMCGGACCUUCUCGGAUGCGAGUGCCCAGUGGGCCACUUUUGGUAAGCAGAANUGGSGCKGYKGKRUGAAGCCAAACGACGAGGUUAAGGGGCCCGAUGCAGGACGCUCAUGAGAACCCAUGAAAGGUGUUGGGUUGCUAUAGACAGCAGGACGGUGGCCAUGGAAGUCGGAAUCCGCUAAGGAGUGUGUAACAACUCACCUGCCGAAGCAACUAGCCCUGAAAAUGGAUGGCGCUUCAGCGUCGACCCCAUACCCGUCCGCCGCGGCGGAGAUGCGAUCGCAUUAUGCCGCGGUGAGUAGGAGGGCGCGGGGGCGCGCGUGGAAGGUGCCGGGCGUGAGCCCGCCUGGAGCCGCCCCCGGUGCAGAUCUUGGUGGUAGUAGCAAAUACUCAAGUGAGAACCUUGAGGACUGAGGUGGAGAAGGGUUCCAUGUGAACAGCAGUUGAACAUGGGUCAGUCGGUCCUAAGGGAUGUCCGAAAGGAUUUCCGAAGGGGGGACGUGGUGAGAUUUGUUCCCCCCCAUGACCGAAAGGGAAUCGGGUUAAUAUUCCCGAACCCGGACACGGAGAUCGGUCCCUUCGGGGAUACGUGCGGUAACGCAAACGACCUCGGAGACGUCGACGGGGGUCCCGGGAAGAGUUGUCUUUUCUUUGUAAGGGUUCGGCUCCCUGGAAUCGGCUCGCCCGGAGAUAGGGAUGCUGAACCCGUAAAGCACCGCGCCUCUUGUGGUGUCCGUGAGCGCUCCCGUCGGCCCUUGAAAAUCCGAGCGAGAGUUGGUGAUUUUCCGGUGCCCGGGUACCGUACUCCAUAU